rnacentral:misc_RNA from 1 species
UAUCCGUAGGUGAACCUGCGGAAGGAUCAUUAUUGUAUAACCGAGGUGCGAGGGCUGUCGCUGACCCGAAAGGUCGUGCACGCCCGAGUGCCCUCACACACAUCCAUCUCACCCCUAUAUGCACCACCGCGUGGGUCCCCCUUUGGCUUGUUCGGAGGGGGGCUUACGUUUUCACACAAACUUUGUAUGCAGUGUAGAAUGUAUUUUUUGUUUUUGCGAUCACGCAAUCAAUACAACUUUCAACAACGGAUCUCUUGGCUCUC